rnacentral:snRNA from 1 species
AUAUUUUUUUGGGCCUUUAAGUGUAGUAUAUCAAGUGUAGUAUCUCAGUUUAAUAUCCGAUAUAUGAAUCAUUAAUUCACACAAUAUUAAAUUUAUCUUUUGAGGGAAAGUGUUCAUUACAUUAGCUUGCUAUUGGGACUCUUAGGCAUCGCUCUUGUCUUAGACUACUGCAAGAGCCUGGUGCAUCCCAU